rnacentral:rRNA from 1 species
UGCUUUUGAUGGGCGUCGACCGGCGCACGGGUGAGUAACGCGUAUCCAACCUGCCCACCACUUGGGGAUAACCUUGCGAAAGUAAGACUAAUACCCAAUGACGUCUCUAGAAGACAUCUGAAAGAGAUUAAAGAUUUAUCGGUGAUGGAUGGGGAUGCGUCUGAUUAGCUUGUUGGCGGGGUAACGGCCCACCAAGGCAACGAUCAGUAGGGGUUCUGAGAGGAAGGUCCCCCACAUUGGAACUGAGACACGGUCCAAACUCCUACGGGAGGCAGCAGUGAGGAAUAUUGGUCAAUGGACGAGAGUCUGAACCAGCCAAGUAGCGUGCAGGAUGACGGCCCUAUGGGUUGUAAACUGCUUUUAUAAGGGAAUAAAGUGAGUCUCGUGAGACUUUUUGCAUGUACCUUAUGAAUAAGGACCGGCUAAUUCCGUGCCAGCAGCCGCGGUAAUACGGAAGGUCCGGGCGUUAUCCGGAUUUAUUGGGUUUAAAGGGAGCGUAGGCCGGAGAUUAAGCGUGUUGUGAAAUGUAGACGCUCAACGUCUGCACUGCAGCGCGAACUGGUUUCCUUGAGUACGCACAAAGUGGGCGGAAUUCGUGG